GACGAACGCUGGCGGCGCGCCUAACACAUGCCAGUCGAACGGAGCUGCGAGAAGCUUGCUUUUCUUAGCUUAGUGGCGAACGGGUGAGUAACGCGUGAGUAACCUGCCCUGGAGUGGGGGACAACAGUUGGAAACGACUGCUAAUACCGCAUAAGCCCACGAUCCGGCAUCGGAUUGAGGGAAAAGGAUUUAUUCGCUUCAGGAUGGACUCGCGUCCAAUUAGCUAGUUGGUGAGGUAACGGCCCACCAAGGCGACGAUUGGUAGCCGGACUGAGAGGUUGAACGGCCACAUUGGGACUGAGACACGGCCCUGACUCCUACGGGAGGCAGCAGUGGGGGAUAUUGCACAAUGGGGGAAACCCUGAUGCAGCGACGCCGCGUGGAGGAAGAAGGUUUUCGGAUUGUAAACUCCUGUCGUUAGGGACGAUAAUGACGGUACCUAACAAGAAAGCACCGGCUAACUACGUG
rnacentral:rRNA from 1 species